ensembl:lncRNA
GUGUGUGUGUGUGUGUGCGUGCGUGCGUGCGUGCGUGCGUGCGUGCGUGCGUGCGUACAAGCAAUCCACUAGACCCUGGAGUGGAUUCUGUGGAGGCGUUGCUUUUGAAUAAUCAAUGCAUGGCUCAAAUUCCACUCACUGAGAGCUCACUGACAUCCCAGUUAAUAAUAAGCAAGAUUUUUUUUUUCUUCAUGUUAACUGGUGUUGGGUUGAGGAGGCGGGGGUGGGGUGUCAAACUGAGUCAAUGGAGUCAUUGUCUGACCCUCGUGUCUUCGUCCGAAAGUCAUCGCUCUCCGAACUCGCGCACCCAGAGCGGCGACGUUUGAAAGGAAAGGAGUUGUUGUGGUUCACUGAGGCUUGUAAUCCUGGAGCGGUCUUGAAACAAGCAGGCGAGAUUUUUAAGGAGGGCUGGAGUCUACCCCAGCUGCUGUGGAGAUGGGAUUGUAACCCGUGGAUUGAACUCAUUCAGAUCCACUGCCUGUGAUAAGACUGGUGACAGGUCCAGGGUGUACCCCGCUACAACAGUCAGGAUAGGCUGCAGGCCCGACCACUACCAGAAUUCCAUAACCAGAAGAAAAUUAAUGGACUUUCUGGAAGAUUUGGAAAGAGUUUGUGUUUAUUUUAGAUAUUAAAACAAAAAUCCUAUAAAAGCAGGAGAAUAUGUUUUUGUUUGUUUGUUUUUUACCAAGCCGUAAGAUGUGAUAGCACCGCUCACAGAUGUUCCUUCCUUGUUUAUGAAUGUAUUAUUUAUCUGGUUGCCGUUAAACCACAAUGAUGGCACUCAUAAAUAAUGAACUGUAUCUGGAUGACUCCGACUGCAGAAUCUCUCAGAUGACGAGGUGAAUGUCGAAACACAAAGCUUUUAGUCAUAGUUGCUUUUCUGAUUGGAAAAAGCUAAACCUACAGCACCAAAUGGCAACAGCAGUUGCCUGAAACUUUGGUAAAGACUCAACAACAAUACAGAGAAAACCCUAAAAAUCAGACAAACCCCUAUGAGCAAGUAUUUGGUGACAGUGGGGAGGAAAAACUCCCUUUUAACAGGAAGAAAAGGCACAAAAGAAAAUUUAGGCCUCUGCCUGUUUUUUAUAGUUGUGUUAAACAUCAACUCAAAGCCUGUUGAUAAGUGUCCAGUGCAGCUGAAGCAAGAACCUGCACGUUUCAUUGACAGGUUAACCAGAAAGGAAGGAACAGCUAACUAACCAGAGUGUGCUGAAGGUUUUGUAAAAUUAAAUAUCUGUAUCAAUAUACAUUUGGAGAGAAAUAUAUCUUUUGUAUUUGCAUUUAAGCAGAUUUAUCUUUCUGUUGGUCAGUAAAUCAGUGGUAGCUAAUUUGAAUACAUUGAUGCUCUGCUGUGGGCAAGGAGCAGAGCAAAGUUAUUUCAAGAAGAAAUGGUCAUUUUUUUUAUAUGUAAAUGUUUGCGUAAGGCGAAACAAUAAAACAUUUAGAGUG